GCCAGGCAUGGUGGUACGUGCCUGUAGUUCAAGUUACUCAGGAGGCUGAGGUGGGAGGAGCACUUUAGUCUAGGAGUUCUGGGCUGUAGUGCGCAAUACCGAUGGGGUGUCUGCACUAAGUUCCGCAUCAAUGUGGUGACCUCCCAGGAGUGGAGAACCACCAGGUUGCCUAAGGAGGGGUGAACCAGCCCAGGUCGGAAAUGGAGCAGGUCAAAACUCCCAUGCUGAUUGGUAGUGGGAUCCCGCCUGUGAAUAGCCACUGCACUCCAGCCUGUGCAACAUAGCAAGACCCUGUCUCU
ensembl:misc_RNA Metazoa_SRP Metazoan signal recognition particle RNA